UGUAACAACAAUUGGAAAAGUCUCAGGUCGCCUAGAAAAUAAGGUACCCAAAAAGUACUUGUUGCCGGACAUUGUCCUACUUCUAUUAGGACUCUAUUUCUGGUAUUAUUACACUUAGUUACUCCUUAUAAAGGUUAUUAAAGUUUGUUUUCUGGUGAAUUUUAGCUUUUUGAAUUUAGGUAGAAGCCAAAUAUUCUACCCGCAUGAUGCUAUGUUUCAAGGGCCUUUGGCAUUUCUUUUGGAUGGUUUGGGAAGAGAGGGGGAAA
rnacentral:lncRNA from 1 species